AUCCGUUCGUCUUCUUCCACUAGCACCCUCGAGAGCAACCGCACCAACCUCGUCGCCAUUAUCCGUUACCCGGACACGGCCGAGAGCCCUUCCCCUCCCUCGCGUCCGCUGCUGCGCCAGUCGGAUCUCACACCGCGCCGCCGCUGCUAGCGAGGCUACUCCUUCCUGGGCCGGCGAGCUCGCCAGCUCUGUGCCAUGGAAGGCCGCGGUCUCCGGCGCGCUCGCCCUCGCCGUUUGCUUCACUUGCUUCGUUGGUUCGGCCAAUGCUAGGACUGGGGUAAACAAACCAGAACUGCUUCCUAAAGAAUUUACUACCGUCAUUGAUGUUGCUGGUUUUCUUUCCUCAGGCCAGGAACAAGCAGAACAUUCUGGCUUAUAUAGGAUAAAAUUGUCUGAUGGAGGCACUUUACAUUCUACUGAUUUAAUUUCUUUAUGACCCGUUCGUAUAAUCUUGCAAUAUAUAUUUGAUGAAUAGUCAUGCCAACUCUUAUAUUAUAAUGAAGACGGAUACUUGUCUGGCUUACUUUUGUUCCACCUGAAAAACGCACCAUCUUGUUAUUUCCACAUCAAUUAUAGAUGUGGAUUGUUUGUUCUUAGGAAAACCGUUUGCGCCAAGAGAUAGAAGACCUGGAGAAGGAUACAGGGUACAAACUGCGAGUUCUUGCACAAAAUUAUCCCGAUACCCCUGGAUUGGCUAUCAAAGAUUUUUGGCAGGUUGAUGAGCGUACUAUUGUUUUUGUUGCUGAUCCAACCUUUGGCAACAUAAUAAAUUUCAACGUUGGCCCAUUAGUUGAUUUAGAUGUCCCUCGGAGCUUUUGGAGUCAGGUUUCAGGGAAGUAUGGGAACAUGUUCUACUGGAAAGAAAAGGGAGAGGAUGCAUCGAUUGAAGCUGCCGUGACGGCAAUUUCACGCUGUCUAAGAGACCCCAGCGGGACAAAUAAUUGUUCGGAGGUGCUAUAGGAAGCAAGUUAUCGUUGCCCAAAGAAACAUGGAAAGUCUUCUGAACACGAUAUCCAGUAUACCAAAAAACUAUUAACAAAUUACUUCUGUGAAAAAAUAAUAAAAUCAUGGCGCAAUGACACAUACUACUAUGACUA